rnacentral:rRNA from 1 species
UACGUAGGUGGCAAGCGUUGUCCGGAUUUACUGGGCGUAAAGAGCGCGCAGGCGGCUGGUCAAGUCCGAUGUGAAAUCUCCCGGCUUAACUGGGAAACUGCAUCGGAAACUGAUCGGCUUGAAGGUGAGAGAGGGUAGUGGAAUUCCCGGUGUAGUGGUGAAAUGCGUAGAUAUCCGGAGGAACACCGGUGGCGAAGGCGGCGUUCUGGACUGCAACUGACACUGAGGAACGAAAGCCAGGGGAGCAAACGGG